rnacentral:rRNA from 1 species
CCUUCGGGGUACUCGAGUGGCGAACGGUGAGUAACACGUGGGUAAUCUGCCCUGCACUUCGGGAUAAGCCUGGGAAAACUGGGUCUAAUACCGGAUAGGACCAAAAGGCGCAUGCCUUGUGGUGGAAAGCUUUUGCGGUGUGGGAUGGGCCCGCGGCCUAUCAGCUUGUUGGUGGGGUGACGGCCUACCAAGGCGACGACGGGUAGCCGGCCUGAGAGGGUGUCCGGCCACACUGGGACUGAGAUACGGCCCAGACUCCUACGGGAGGCAGCAGUGGGGAAUAUUGCACAAUGGGCGCAAGCCUGAUGCAGCGACGCCGCGUGGGGGAUGACGGCCUUCGGGUUGUAAACCUCUUUCACCAUCGACGAAGGUCCGGGUUUUCUCGGAUUGACGGUAGGUGGAGAAGAAGCACCGGCCAACUACGUGCCAGCAGCCGCGGUAAUACGUAGGGUGCGAGCGUUGUCCGGAAUUACUGGGCGUAAAGAGCUCGUAGGUGGUUUGUCGCGUUGUUCGUGAAAUCUCACGGCUUAACUGUGAGCGUGCGGGCGAUACGGGCAGACUGGAGUACUGUAGGGGAGACUGGAAUUCCUGGUGUAGCGGUGGAAUGCGCAGAUAUCAGGAGGAACACCGGUGGCGAAGGCGGGUCUCUGGGCAGUAACUGACGCUGAGGAGCGAAAGCGUGGGGAGCGAACAGGAUUAGAUACCCUGGUAGUCCACGCCGUAAACGGUGGGUACUAGGUGUGGGUUUCCUUCCUUGGGAUCCGUGCCGUAGCUAACGCAUUAAGUACCCCGCCUGGGGAGUACGGCCGCAAGGCUAAAACUCAAAG